rnacentral:rRNA from 1 species
GACGAACGUUGGCGGCGUGCUUAAUACAUGCAAGUCAACUGAAGCAGUGGUAGCAAUAUCGCUGUGGAGGUGGCGCACGGGUGAGUAACACGUAGGUAAUCUGCCUUCAGGUCUGGCAUAACUCCGGGAAACCGGGGCUAAUAGCAGAUGAUGCAGCGGCUCGACAUCGAGACAGUUGUUAAAGCUUUGGCGCCUGAAGAUGAGCCUGCGUCUGAUUAGCUAGUUGGCGGGGUAACGGCCCACCAAGGCAACGAUCAGUAGCUGGUCUGAGAGGAUGAUCAGCCACACUGGGACUGAGACACGGUCCAGACUCCUACGGGAGGCAGCAGUAAGGAAUAUUGCUCAAUGGGAGAAAUCCUGAAGCAGCAACGCCGCGUGAGGGACGAAGGGCUUUUGCUUGUAAACCUCUGUAGUGAGAGAAAAAAAUCCCAAUCUUUGGGACAUGAUGGUAUCUCAAAAGUAAGCCCCGGCUAACUACGUG